GACGUAGGGCGCGAGCGUUGUCCGGAUUUAUUGGGCGUAAAGAGCUCGUAGGCGGCUUGUCGCGUCGACCGUGAAAACUUGGGGCUCAACCCCAAGCCUGCGAUCGAUACGGGCAGGCUCGAGUUCGGUAGGGGAGACUGGAAUUCCUGGUGUAGCGGUGAAAUGCGCAGAUAUCAGGAGGAACACCGAUGGCGAAGGCAGGUCUCUGGGCCGAUACUGACGCUGAGGAGCGAAAGCGUGGGGAGCGAACAGG
rnacentral:rRNA from 1 species